rnacentral:rRNA from 1 species
GUGUCAGCCGCCGCGGUAACACGUAUGGGGCGAGCGUUGUUCGGAAUUACUGGGCAUAAAGGGCGUGUAGGCGGUUCGGUAAGCCCGGCGUGAAAGGUAUCGGCUCAACCGAUAGACGGCGCUGGGAACUGCGGGACUGGAGUUCUGGAGGGGGAGCUGGAAUUCCUGGUGUAGGGGUGAAAUCUGUAGAGAUCAGGAAGAACACCGGUGGCGAAGGCGGGCUCCUGGCCAGUGACUGACGCUGAGGCGCGAAAGCGUGGGGAGCAAACAGGAUUAGAUACCCUGGUAGUCCACGCUGUAAACGAUGUGCACUAGGUGUUGGUGCCAUACGGGCAUCGGUGCCGUAGCUAAGGCGAUAAGUGCACCGCCUGGGGAGUAUGCUCGCAAGGGUGAAACUUAAAUGAAUUGACGGGG